UACGUAGGGUGCGAGCGUUGUCCGGAAUUAUUGGGCGUAAAGAGCUCGUAGGCGGUGUGUCACGUCGGCCGUGAAAACCUGCAGCUUAACUGUGGGCGUGCGGUCGAUACGGGCAUCACUGGAGUUCGGCAGGGGAGACUGGAAUUCCUGGUGUAGCGGUGAAAUGCGUAGAGAUCGGGAGGAACACCCGUGGCGAAGGCGGCCGACUGGGCCGACUCUGACGCUGAGGCGCGAAGGCGUGGGGAGCGAACGGG
rnacentral:rRNA from 1 species